UGUGUCUUUUGGUUAGGCCAUGUAGCGCCUGAGUCGAUGUGAAGUUGAUCUGUAGGAUGCCGGUGUAGUACUAGCUUCAGUUCAAGUUUAUAUUGACUCAGGCGCUACAUGGCCUAACCAAAUGACACA